GCCUUCGUGGUCUAACGGUAGAACACUCGACACGUAUUCGAGAGGUCCAGGUUCGAAUCCCGGCGAGGACA
rnacentral:tRNA from 1 species